UUCAAUUCUGGUGUUGUGUGUGGCUUCGGUUUCUCGAAUCUCUACCAUUUCGUUUGAUGCUUUGUGGAGCUCGAUCUCCGGAAGAUCUUCGAUAAUGGAACGGAUCGUCGGCGGAAAGUACAAGCUAGGGCGCAAGAUCGGCAGCGGAUCGUUCGGUGAAAUUUAUCUCGCUACGCACGUCGAUACGUUUGAGAUCGUAGCUGUGAAGAUUGAGAACAGUAAGACAAAGCAUCCACAACUGCUUUAUGAAGCAAAGUUAUACAAUCUUCUUCAAGGAGGAAGUGGAAUUCCUGGAAUAAGAUGGUCUGGGAUAGAUGGCGAUGACAAUAUCCUAGUUCUUGAUUUGCUUGGGCCUAGUCUUGAAGAUCUGUUUGUGUAUUGUGGGAGGAAGUUCUCCUUGAAGACAGUCUUAAUGUUGGCUGAUCAAAUGAUUACAAGAAUCGAAUAUGUGCACUCUAAAGGAUUUUUACAUAGAGAUAUCAAGCCCGACAACUUCCUCAUGGGUCUGGGUCGUAAAGCAAAUCAGGUUUACAUUAUAGAUUUUGGGCUUGCUAAAAGGUAUCGGGACUCUACAACAAAUCGCCAUAUUCCUUACAGGGAGAAUAAGAACUUAACUGGAACUGCACGUUAUGCAAGUUGCAAUACACAUCUUGGAAUCGAGCAAAGCCGGAGGGAUGAUUUGGAGUCGCUUGGAUAUGUACUUCUAUAUUUUUUAAGAGGAAGCCUUCCAUGGCAGGGUUUAAAGGCUGCCACAAAGAAGCAAAAGUAUGACAAAAUAUGUGAGAAGAAGUUAUCAACUCCAAUUGAGGUUCUGUGUAAAUCUCAUCCAGUGGAAUUUGCAUCAUACUUCCAUUAUUGCCACUCGUUGACAUUUGAUCAGCGACCUGAUUAUGGAUUCUUAAAGCGUCUUUUCCGUGACUUGUUUACUCGAGAAGGAUAUGAAUUUGAUUACAUAUUUGAUUGGACAAUCCUGAAGUACCAGCAAACCCAGAAGAGUAGAACUCAACCUCAAUUAUCUCCAGCAGCUGGAGGGAGCAGCAGCCGAGCAAUGGCAAUGGAUGUGGAUAGGCAUCAAGGGGGCAUUAAUGCUUCUUAUUCAGCUGAGGCUACAGAGCGCAUUAGAUCAAGCAAUGCUGCUGCUAGUUCUGGCAUACGCAUGCAAUUUAAGUCAACAGGCAAAAAUUUGAGUUCUGAGAGUCCGGCUGAGAAGAAUAUUGUGAGCGAUGCACACAUGCCAUCUACUUCAUUUUCUCUUGCUGGUUUUUCAAAAAGAAAUGCUCCAAAACCCAUGUUACCAACUGAAACAACAAACACUGCACACCAUGGACAUACCAACAAAAUUGGUCCUUCAAGCAGCUGGAUUUCAUCUCUACAGCGUAUUUCUUCUUCCAAGUGAUCAAUGUGCUAUAGGUUUGGUUGAGACUUGAGAAGAUCACAGUGACACAUCUGUGGAGACUGCAAAUGUUUUGUGAAUUGAAUUGCAUUAGUUCCUCCUUGGGUUCCAGAUUGCAUGAUAUUUUUCUUAAGGAAAUGUUAUAUGACCAGUCCAAAUGCAGAACGCAAUCCCAUAUGAAAUGAUCAAGUCAAAUGAACACACCCACCUCAGAAAUUUGACUUCACAUGAAGGAAAGAUUGUGGCUCUGAGUUUCCAAAUUUUGAGAUUGUAGGAAUGUUGAAGGAUUUAUGUUUUUUCUGCAGCAGGGUCAGAUGAGUGGAAUCAGGCUGGAAAUAACUUUUAAGGAUGGUCCCUGAAAAUCAUGAGUCAUCUGCCUCUGCUGCUGCCACUUCUGGUUGGUGAAAAGGACCUCUAUUGGCCGACUAGGUACAAGGUGAAAGGGAGACCUUGAUCUUUAUGGCAUUUGUGGGUUUACACAGAUUACUUCAUCAUGCUCCCAGUACAGCUAAGUUUCCCAAUUAAAUUCUAUGUAAUGAUUUUUCUCCCACCUGGAAAAUGUGCUGCUGGGCAUCCAUGAUAAUGAUUAAAACUAAAGUGAACAGGCUGGAAUGCUGGCAAAGUCGAGCCAGCAAAUACUAGUUGCUUCCACAUCUUGUUUAUUCUGCAAAGAGGGUAUAUUGAUUGGGUUAAAAGUAUUUUCUAUUCUGGUUGAUAAUGACUGCACAAAAGUGGUUGUUCUGCGGGAUUUGAUCACCUCUGCAAAGCACACUAUAUGCUGGAAGGUUGGUGUACAAUUGGUAGCAGCAUAGGCACAAUCAGGGUAUCCAAAUAAUUGCACUGUAGUUCUCUGUUGCUGUGUGGCAAUGCCAUUGCUCUCUUUAGUGGCUUUUUAAUGUCUAAGUUGCCAGGUAUGCCAUGAAUCUGGGACUGGUUACUGAAAAUUCCUGGAGCUACUUAUUUUUUACUUGUGUUUUGGUAGAUCUGGCAGGUGAUUCUGCUGAUUUUUAACCCCAUCAUGGCAGUGAUUGCACUCAAUGAUGUUGGUUCAGUUGUUUAAGGCUUUCAGAAAUGUGAUCGUCUUUGAACCUUGUUAUGCUGCUAUUCUACUUGGGAUUGCUUCUGAUGAGGCUAGCGCCCAACAUUAAGAGAGAAUUAAUGAAUGUAGAAUGAGUGGUUCCAGAGGCCAUAUGAUAUAAGACCUGAGUUAUUUUGUUGGUGAUGUAUCCCUGGGGUUCCAUUUAUGUGCCUUGACCAGAUGCCCACAACAGAAAUGCCUGGGAAGAUCAGUGGUGGCAAAUGGUACAGAGCUCAUCUGACUUUUUCUUGAAGUUGCAGAUUUUAAUUUAACCCCACCUAAAUAUUUUAUUACUGUUGCUUGAAUCUUUCUAUGUGCCAUCGGUCGGUCGUUCUAGUAAUCUAAUUUCUUGGAUCUGGAAAGGAAUGAAAAUCAUGUUUUAUUGGCA